rnacentral:rRNA from 1 species
GCCCUUAGAGUUUGAUCAUGGCUCAGGACGAACGCUGGCGGCGUGCCUAACACAUGCAAGUCGAACGAAACUACUUGGUUAGCUUGCUAACCGGGUAGACUUAGUGGCGGACGGGUGAGUAACACGUGGGUAACCUACCUGGGAGACCGGGAUAACAGCUCGAAAGGGCUGCUAAUACCGGAUGAAGUAUGAGUAAUUAGAUUUACUUGUACCAAAGGCGUUAAGUAGUGCUCCUGGAUGGGCCCGCGGCUCAUUAGCUAGUUGGUAGGGUAAAGGCUUACCAAGGCGAUGAUGGGUAGCCGGUCUGAAAAGAUGGUCGGCCACACUGGGACUGAGACACGGCCCAGACUCCUACGGGAGGCAGCAGUGGGGAAUAUUGCCCAAUGGGGGC